CAGUAGAUGAAUGGUCAUUAAUAGCUAUAUAUUCAAGCUGUGGAUAAUCAGGAUUAGGAGAUAAAGUAUACACAUGCUAAGUGAAAUGCCACCAUAUACAGCAUUUGGUUCAGUGCAAUCAGGUAAGUAUAAAUGUAAGUAUAGCGAUUGAGUAGUAAGUAAGCAGGCUAUAAUGCUUAUCAGAUAGCAAGAAAUUAAAACCACUGAAGCCCACUGUAAUGGAGCUUCCUGUACCCCGGUUAGGUACCUGCACCGACGGAUGCUCCUAGUGCUCACUGAGGAAUCUGAGCACUCCUCCAGACACCAUAAGCACUGCAGACCCCACAACUGCCGCAGCUUGGUUGGUGUCUCACUGUCUCCUACCCACCCUGGACCUACGACAAGGCUCUAGGUUCUAGUGGGUGAACCUCUCUUCCUCCAGAGAGUCAAAAAGUAAUAGCUCUUACAAGAGAUCAGAGAAUCCAAG